rnacentral:rRNA from 1 species
CAGUCGCCGCGGGAACACGUAGGGUGCAAGCGUUAAUCGGAAUUACUGGGCGUAAAGCGUGCGCAGGCGGUUAUAUAAGACAGAUGUGAAAUCCCCGGGCUCAACCUGGGAACUGCAUUUGUGACUGUAUAGCUAGAGUACGGCAGAGGGGGAUGGAAUUCCGCGUGUAGCAGUGAAAUGCGUAGAUAUGCGGAGGAACACCGAUGGCGAAGGCAAUCCCCUGGGCCUGUACUGACGCUCAUGCACGAAAGCGUGGGGAGCAAACAGGAUUAGAUACCCCGGUAGUCCCUGUCUCUUAUAC